GAUGAACGCUAGCGGCAGGCUUAAUACAUGCAAGUCGAGGGGCAGCGGGAGUAGCAAUACUUGCCGGCGACCGGCGCACGGGUGCGUAACACGUAUGUAAUCUGCCCAUCACAGGAGGAUAGCCCGGAGAAAUUCGGAUUAAUACUCCAUAAUAGAAGAUAAAGCAUUUUAUUUUCUUGAAAGUUCCGACGGUGAUGGAUGAACAUGCGACUGAUUAGUUUGUUGGUGAGGUAACGGCUCACCAAGACUACGAUCAGUAGGGGUACUGAGAGGUUAAACCCCCCANACUGGUACUGAGACACGGGACCAGACUCCUACGGGAGGCAGCAGUAAGGAUAUUGGACAAUGGCCGCAAGGCUGAUCCAGCCAUGCCGCGUGCAGGAAGACGGACCUAUGGUUUGUAAAACUGCUUUUUGAACGGGAGAAAACCCCCCUACGUGUAGGGGGCUGAUAGUACUGUUAGAAUAAGCAUCGGCUAACUUCGUGCCAGCAGCCGCGGU
rnacentral:rRNA from 1 species